rnacentral:rRNA from 1 species
GAUGAACGCUGGCGGCGUGCCUAAUACAUGCAAGUCGAGCGAACAGACCAGGAGUUUGCUCCUCUGACGUUAUCGGCGGACGGGUGAUUAACACGUGGAUAACCUACCUAUAAGACUGGGAUAACUUCGGGAAACCGGAGCUAAUACCGGAUAAUAUAUUGACCCUCAUGGUUCAAUAGUGAAAGACGGUUUUGCUGUCACUUAUAGAUGGAUCCGCGCCGCAUUAGCUAGUUGGUAAGGUAACGGCUUACCAAGGCUACGAUGCGUAGCCGACCUGAGAGCGAGGUCGACCACACGGGAACUGAGACACGUUCCAGACUCCUACGGUGGGCCGCAGUAGGGAAUCUUCCGGGAUGGGCGAGAGCCUGACGGAGCAACGCGGCGUAAGGGAUGACGGUGUUCGGAUCGGAAAACUCUGUUAGUAGGAGGAAACAAAUGUGUAAGUAACUAUGCACGUCUUGACGGUACCUAAUCAGAAAGCCACGGCUAACUACGUG